UGACCUCCAAUCUUCAUCUCAUUUCUGAUUUCUCAUUGUUUGACUUUGACUUUCAAUGUCAUUUGGUCAACAUACAUGGAUUGGUUCAUUUAUUUCAUCUUAUGCACUCUAUUUUCCCAUUUUCAUCUUCCAUUAUUCAUCGUUUUCUUCUUCUUCUUCUUUUUCUUUUUUUUUUAUCAAUGAGUUGAAGGUUGAUAAGUUAGCAUUGAUUAGGGAGACUUAACCUUCCUUGAUUCAAAUCUAAUUCAUCUUGAUC
rnacentral:lncRNA from 1 species